AAUGCUCAAGGCACAAACAAGUAUCCUUCAACAUCCAAAUCAUGGUGUUUGCGCCAGUCUGUAGCCCAAGAGGAGUGGCGCAAAGCAAGGUCCUAUCACAUAAACGGCUUGCUGUCCUGCAGUGUGGUUCCAGAGCAGAACUGCAGCCGCUGCACAUCUCCUGCCAUCAUUCGCUGCAAAGACUGCAUGCAGAAGAGUGGCUGUGUAUGGAGUGUGACAUACACAUACACAAAAAACUCACCCUUCAUAACAGGGAGUCCUGCAUUGAGGGAAUUUACAAGCCCAUUGAGCCAACAGUGUGAUGUGUAAGAAAAGAUGGCAAAUAUACACUGGUCAAUCAAGGUACUGUGAAUGCUGACACGCUGUUUUCAUUGGAUGUCUUCAGCACUUUUGAAGAAAUGAAAACUGUUGCACCCAGUUUAUCACGACAAGGUUUUUUGCAGAUGUUGGAGAGGAGGACUUGUCACUUUAAAAGGGCUGGGAAAAUACAUGGAGAUGUAUUACAAAGAAGCUUUAUGGAAUACACAUUCUGCCAGUACCAGUGUGAGAAAAUGGCCAGUGUAGAGCAUUUCACCUGCCCAGCAUGUACACCCAACACCCUUGCUCUUUGUGCAGAUGGCAACAGAAAACUGUACCGAUUUCGUCAGUCAAAAGGGUCAGAAGAACCAUGUUUUGAUGGUACCUUCAUUGCCAAGGACACUGAUGUACACCAUUUUGUUGAUGAGAUCAGGAGUAAAAUU